UACGUAGGGGGCGAGCGUUGUCCGGAAUCAUUGGGCGUAAAGCGCGUGUAGGCGGCUCGGUAAGUCCGCCGUCAAAUCCCAGGGCUCAACCCUGGACAGGCGGUGGAAACUACCAAGCUGGAGUACGGUAGGGGCAGAGGGAAUUUCCGGUGGAGCGGUGAAAUGCGUAGAGAUCGGAAAGAACACCAACGGCGAAAGCACCCUGCUGGGCCGACACUGACACUGAGAGACGAAAGCUAGGGGAGCGAAUGGG
rnacentral:rRNA from 1 species